rnacentral:rRNA from 1 species
GUCUACAGACACGCUGCCCUGAAAGCACCUGAUCCCAUCUGAUCCUGGAAGUUAAGCAGGGUCCGGACUGGUUAGUACUUGGAUGGGAGACCUCCAGGGAAUACCAAGUGCUGCAGGCU